CAACUCUGGCUACUUUCUCCAGUUAUGGGGUGAUGUGGAAGAGGGAAGAGUUGGAAUAUGAUGGGCUCAAACUCAGCAGAAGGUGUGGCUGGAGAGCCAUCUUGUAAACUGUCAUCCUGGGGACCUCAGAAUCCCCACCACAGCAGAGUUUACUGUGUGUGACAACUUGGAAAUUUUCCAAGCACUCACGCGACUGCUGCAUUCCCUGGGGCUCUUAUGAAUAGCUGUCAAUAAGGUACAAGACAUAAACAGGAAUAGGCUUUGUCUUCUA